AAUAUUGGACAAUGGGGGCAACCCUGAUCCAGCCAUGCCGCGUGUGUGAAGAAGGUCNNNGGAUUNUNAAGCACUUUAAGGUGNGANNAAGGGCUUUAGGCUAAUUCCCUGAAGUUUUGACGUUACCAACAGAAUAAGAACCGGCUAACUCUGUGCCAGCAGCCUCGGUAAUACAGAGGGUGCAAGCGUUAAUCGGAAUUAAUGGGCGUAAAGCGCGCGUAGAUGGUUCAGUAAGAUGGGUGUGAAAUCCACGGGCUUAACCUGGGAACUGCUUUCAUAACUGCUGAGCUAGAGUACGGUAGAGGGUAGUGGAAUUUCCUGUGUAGCGGUGAAAUGCGUAGAUAUAGGAAGGAACACCAGUGGCGAAGGCGACUACCUGGACUGAUACUGACACUGAGGUGCGAAAGCGUGGGGAGCAAACA
rnacentral:rRNA from 1 species